UCUCUCAAACCCUCCCCAGUUAGGAUUUUCCCAACAUCAGAUUGAUAGUCAAGUUGAUAUAUGACUUUCACCUUGCAGGUUCCUUUCUCUGAGACUUCAUCUCAUUACACCAUUUGGUAAAAUCUGACACACUUGGCCAUUCUGUCCUCCUUAAAACACUUCUAUAUCUCCAUACUCUUAAUAGUUUUUCCUCCUGCUUCAAACACAUUCUCAGUCUCUUUUUGUCUCUUGUCCCUUCUCUUUUCGUCUCUUGUCCCUUCUCUUUUCCCCAAGGUCUAAGCACUGGACAUUUCUCUUUUCUAAGGGCAUUCCCUCAAUUAUCUCACUCCAUUCAUCAGUUGAUGAUUCCUAAACAUCUAUUUCCAGCCUGGACCCCUUCUUUGAACUUAAGUCUAUAUACAUCUGUACAGUAGACAUCUCCAUUGGACGCCUAAUUGCAGUUCCAAAUUUAAUGUUAUAGCCAACCUCCUGCUCCUCCUAUUAUCAUCCCCAUCUCAGUAUUGUCCAUUCUUCUAGUUGGUCAAGCCAAACACUGGGAGUCUUCUUUGACUUUACAAAUCCUAUUGAUGUCAUUGUCAAUAUAUAUAGUACCAGUUCUCAUUACCUUCAGCAUUUGCAACCUAAGCCACCCUUUUACUAAAUUGUGAUGAGAGCCUCUUUGCCCUUAACCUGAGUAGCUGGGAUCACAGACACACCAAUGCACCCAGUUGCCACAUGUCUUAGAAAGGGAUUCAACUUUCGACUGAACAUUGAAUCGUAGCAAUCAAUUUUUUUCCCUGUCAAAAGUAUACAGGAAGCUGGGCAUGGUAGCGCAAGCCUGUAAUCCCGGUGGCUGGGGGAGGCUAAGGCAGGAGGAUGACAAGCUCAAAUCCAGCCUCAGCAAACGGGAGGUACUAAGCAACUCAAUGAGUCCCUGUCUCUAAAUGAAAUACAAAAUAGGGCUGGGGAUGUGGGUCAGUGGAAGUGCCCCUGAGUUCAAUCCCUAGUGCCCCCACCCAAAAAAUGCAUAGGAGAUAAGGAUAUGAUGAUAUAGGUAUUGGUCAUAAAAUGAGGUAUGGUCCUAUGUAUCAAUUCAUUAAACAAGCCCUAUAAUUGGGAUUGCAGCUAUAUUCAAACUUUAAAUUAUUUAUACCUCAUCUAUUCCCAAGGAUAACAAAG
rnacentral:lncRNA from 1 species